UGCUGGUUGGAAGCUUGAGAAGGUUUGCGAAUCACAUUAAGCUCUUUUGGUGACCUGGGAGGCUAGUUUAGAAGGUGUUCUACCCUGAGCGAGAGGGUAAUUGACUCUUGGACUGUCUUCGACUGGCAUUGGAGGGCCUUUUGGAAACUUAAUUUGAGCAGCGUCGAGGCUCCGUUG